rnacentral:misc_RNA from 1 species
GAUGAAGAACGUAGCGAAAUGCGAUACGUAAUGUGAAUUGCAGAUUUCAGUGAAUCAUCGAAUCUUUGAACGCACAUUGCGCCCGCUAGUAUUCUGGCGGGCAUGCCUGUUCGAGCGUCAUUUCAACCAUCAAGCCCUAGGCUUGCGUUGGAGCCCUGCGGCUGCCGCAGGCUCCCAAAUCCAGUGGCGGGCUCGUCGUCGUACCGAGUGCAGUAAACAUCCUCGCUCAGGGAACGUGACGGGUUCUUGCCGUGAAACCCCCCACAUAACAAGGUUGACCUCGGAUCAGGUAGGAAUACCCGCUGAACUUAAGCAUAUCAAUAAGCGGAGGA